rnacentral:rRNA from 1 species
UACGUAGGGGGCAAGCGUUGUCCGGAAUCAUUGGGCGUAAAGCGCGUGUAGGCGGUCCGGUAAGUCGGUUGUGAAAGUCCAGGGCUCAACCCUGGGAUGCCGACCGAUACUGUCGGACUAGAGUUCGGAAGAGGCGAGUGGAAUUCCCGGCGUAGCGGUGAAAUGCGCAGAUAUCGGGAGGAACACCAAUGGCGAAGGCAGCUCGCUGGGACGUUACUGACGCUGAGACGCGAAAGCGUGGGGAGCAAACAGG